rnacentral:sRNA from 2 species
AUUCUUGAUGCAGGUCAACCCUGCACCCGCCUCGCGCGUCCGUUGAUGGGCGCCAUUGACCUCGGUCAAUUUCCUCUCCCGCCCCAUUCGCUACUGUUACCCCAUCAGACAGGUGCAGGCGAAUGGAGGCCGAUAUGUUCUUCGAUAAUGUGGUUAUCGCUGGCGUUGUGACAGUCGGCCUGAUGCUGCUGUUUUUCGCAGGCCUGGGUAUUUUCAUCUGGAAGGACUCGAACAAGCGCAAGCAGGGCUGAUCCUUUCCGAUACACGAGCACGCAAGGCAUUUAGGGCAACUUCGGUUGCCCAUU